GAAAUGCAACCAUGAGGAGAUGUACAAGGCGAUCUCAGACGAGAACUUGGAGUUGAUGCGAGAACGGCUCCUGGAGACCGUGAUUUGGCCAUCAGAUGAUACCAACACCGAGAAGAUCGGUUGAAAUGUUGUAAACCGGCUGCGAUAAGUAGACGAGUGCCUUUCUCGUCUAAAAAAAAUCACUUGGGAGACUUUGCUUGGGGUUUAAGAGAGACUCAGCUGGGUUUUUGCUCUGCUUCUUGUUCUUCCUUUGCCUUGAAGCUUAAUUAAGUACCAGAAUAGUAGUUUGUAGUACAAUGUUAGCAGUUGUAUAUGUAUGGCAAUUUAUACCGGUAUCGAAAAUGAGCAUUUUUAGCUCUUUCUGUUGCUGAGGACCUGCGAUAGAUAAAUAUAGAAGCUCAAGAAAAAGAUUCAAAC
rnacentral:lncRNA from 1 species